GCCGUGGUGAGGAUGAAUCCCACGCGGGCCCUGGCACAUGGGCUUCGGCCCCAGGUCUGCGGUGGUGGGGGUCCCAGCCUUUUCCUGAGGCCAGAAGAGGACUGAAAGGAGUGGUUGCAUCAGGUCUCCCCCACCCUUCUGCCUCCUGCGGUUGCGGCUUUAUUGUGGCCUCUGCUCCCCUGACACCUGCAUUUCACUUAGCGGGAGAGGCGGUGGCCAACUCAGCACAGGCUGCGGACUCAGCGUGGUGACAGAUCCCUCAAGCUAGAAGACUUCUGUUAGGAGAAGCGUUAUCCUGUCAGUUGAUUACCCUGAGUUAUUAUUAUUGCUGUUUGACAGAUGAAAAACUGACAUGGAGAAAAGUUAGACAAUUCCUCCAAAUCACAAAGAUAGUAAGUUGAAAACUUGUGAAAAGAACUCUGCUAUGUCAUAUUUCAAAGUCUAUGACCUCCCCUAUAUGGUACCUUCACUGAUGCUAUUGAAUUUAAAGCAAAUAAAGGAAAUGAAGCACAGCCCAAGUGUUGAUUGGUGGGAAGAAUAAAACAGUCAGAGUAAAUCUCACAUUGAAUGAACCUCCAGUGUUGUGUUGUUAGUUAGAAUUAAAGUCAUUCUCUAGAGUGUAACUUAAGACAGUAUGUCAUUUAAGGGUCAAGAAAUAGUCUGUUUACUCAGCAUUUAUCAGUCCUUUCUUUCCAAACUUUAAGCUAGCUAUAGAAAAAUUCCAGAGAGCCUGGGGAAAGAAACAAAAGGAAAAUUAGGGAAAAGACUUACAAGGUAUGAAGUAUUAGAGAACAUUUUAAAAGGAUAAUCUAUACGCUAUGUCAUUGAUGGCUGCAGCCAUUCUCUAUGCCCAUAAACUAAAUGGGCCUAACUCUUAACAGUGGCUAUUAGGUUAGUUAGAAGAGGCAUGUUUCUGAAAAUUCCAUAGUGAACUUCAUAGCCAGAGGAAAAUAUCUUAUACUUCUUUCUAUUCAAUCAUCCUUGACUCCGAAAGUGCCUCUUAUUUUCUUUUGGUGGAACAGUGGAAAAAAAAUAUCACACUGGAAGGCCAAUUGACUGAAAUCAAGUCCCUUUUCCUAACUGUGUGAACUGGGUCCUUCACAUCACUAUCCUUCAACAACAAGAAAAACAAAAAACAUCCUAUAAAUGUAUAAAGAAGAAAAUGAAAGUUCUUUCUUUGCUACCCCUAGUUCUCUUCCCCUUCCUAGAGGCUAAACUAUUUUGUGUGCAUGUGUGUGUGUGUGUAGAAUGUACACAUAUAUGUAGGGGAUUGGUUCUAGGACUCUGUCCCCUGUGAAUACCAAAAUUCAGGGACGCCUAAGUUCCUUAUAUAAAAUGAUGCUUAUAACCUACGCACAUCCUCCUGUAUACUUUAAAUAAUCUUGAUUACUUAUAAUAUCUAAAACAGUGUAAAUGCUAUGUAAAUAGUUGUUAUACUGUAUUGUUUAGGAAAUAAUGACAAGAAAAAAGUCUGCACAUGGUCAGAACAGAUUCAACCAUUCUUUUUUUAUAUAUUUUUUUCUGAAUAAUUACAAUCCAUGGUUUGUUGAAUCCACAGAUGCAGAACUGGUGGAUAUGGAGGGCUGACUGUAUACAUGUAUCUUCCCCAUAUAAAUAGAACAAUAUUUUAUAUACUGUUCUUCAAAUGGCAUUUUCCCUUUGAAGCUCUUUUCAAAUAUGUAAAAAUCUAUUUUUAAAAACUGCUGCACAGUAGCUCAUAGAAUGAAUCUACCAUAUUUCCUUUACUCUUUCCCCUCUUGGUGGUCCUUUAGGUGGUGUUUGGUUUUUUUCUAUUAUAAAUAGUGUGCAAUGACCAUGCUUGUAAGUGCUUCUAUACUCAUAUAUGUUUCUCUGAGCACAGAUGCCUAGAUCUAGAAGCCAAACAGAUGGGUUGAAGGUGAUACCUAAUUUUAACAUUUGAUGACUCCUGCCAAAUUACCCUCUGAAAAGAAUUUAACAAUUUAUAUUCCUUCCACAUCAUUGCCUCUUUCCCCACAUCAUAAUAUUUGUUCAACUGAGAGAGUGCUUAACUCAGGAGAUCAAUAAAGGUUCAUAGAGGAAGAAGUAUUUGAAAUUGUCCUGGAAGAACAAUAUUUUUCAACAGGCAGAGAUGGAGAAAGGACAAUCUACAUGAACAGAACAGCAUGAGCAAAAAGAACUGGUAGAAAUAUAUUGAGCUUAUUCUUGAAAAUAGCUAGCAGUUUACUCCUCCUUUCUUUUGUAUACUAACAGCAGCACACUGAACAAACUGUUCUGUCAUCUUGUUUUUAUCACUUACCAUAUCUUUGAAAUAUUUCCAUAACCAUCAUAAGGAGUAUCCCUAUUGCUUUUUGAGCAAUGCAUAGAAUUCCAUUUUGUGUGAAUAUCAUAAUUUAUCACUCUUCUAUUUUUAUCACUCCUCUGUUGAUGAUGACUUCCAGUCUUUUGAUAAUAUAAACAGUGCUGUAGUAAAUAAAGUUCUGUAUAUGUCUUUUCCCACAGGUUAGAGACUAUCCAUAGGAUAAAUUUCUAGCAAAUUGCUGAGUCCAGGAUAUGCAUGUUUGCAAUUUUGGAAGAUCUUAAAAACUUGCCUCCUAUAGGUGUUGUACCAGUAUAUACUUCUGCCAGUAAUAGAUGGGUGGGCUGCUGAUGCCUCAAAAUGUAAGUAUUUUCAAACUUUUAAAUUUUAGCCCAUUUAACAUAAUUUAAAAAUUAUGUCUCUGUGUGAUUUUAGUUCCAUUUCCCUUAUUAUAUAUAAGACUGAACAUCUUGGCAUAUGUUUAAGGGCCAUCUGCAUUUCCUUUUCUGUGCACUGUCAGCUUAUAUGCUUUGCCCAUUUUUUCUAGUAGAUGGUUAGUGUUUUUCUUAUUGAUUUGUAUAUAUUCUGUAUUACUCCUUUAUCACAUUGCCACAAAGAAAUGCCUGAGAUGGUGUCAUUUAUAGAGAAAAGAGGUUUAAUUGGCUCACAGUUCCACAGGCUAUACAGGAAGCAUGGCUGAGGAGGCCUCAGGAAACUUAACAAUCAUGGCAGAAGGUGAAGGGGAAGCAGGCACAUCUACACAUGGCCAGAGCAGGAGGAAGAGAGAGAAGGAAGAGGUGCUACACCCUUUUAAGCAACCAGAUCUUGUGAGAUCUCACUAUCGUGAGAAUAGCAAGGAGGAAAUCUGCCCCCAUGAUUCAGUCACCUCCUGCCAGACCCCUCCUCCAACAUUAGGGAUUACAAUUCGACACGAGAUUGCCGGUGGGACACAAAUCCAAACCAUAUCAUAUUCUUUAUACAUUUGGGAAAUUAACUUUUUUCUGUAAUAUGAUUUACAAAUAUUUUUCUCAGAUUGGCAUUUGUUUUUUGACUUUUCAUAUUGUGCAUUUUGCCAUGGGAAGUUUUUUUUGUCAUUAAAUUUACCUAUUCUUUCAUUCAUAUGGCUUCUGGGUCCUAUAUUAUACUUAGACCUUUACCAUUCUGAAAUUAUGUAAGAAAAAUUCUCUCAGGGUUUUUUCCUAGUAAUUUUAAGACUUUACUUUUAAUAUUUUGGAUUUAUCCAGAUGUAGACUAUAAGAUAAGGAUCCACAUUUUUUCCCCAGCUCUACAUUUUGCUGCUAGAAGAUUUUACAAAAUUUUGCAAUUACUUAGUAACUUACAUUUCUUCCCAAUUGAUUUUGAAAUCUGUAAGAGCAGAAACUUUGAUUUCAUAUUUUUAUUCUCUCACAUGCCUGCCCUUUAAUGCACUUCAACCCCAGCCCCAAGUUUUGCCUAGUACUUGGCAGUUAGGUAGUUGUUACUUCUGCAUCUCUUGACUGCUGGGGAGGAAAGAUUCCACCUGAGUUAAGGCAAGUCCUACCCAGGAUGUGGCUGCAAAUGAGACUGCAAAGUUCUCGACCGAUGUCUUUUCAUUAAACUCUGGCUUUUACCAAGUACAAGUACCAAGUGAGUCAUACCGACACAUGUAGAGGAUGGCAUCCUGAGGGGAAAAGAAUUAUAGUGGAAAUAACCAAGGCUGCUUGGAGAAAAGCUUCUCAGCUGGCACUGCAGAACAGCAGCCACUGCCACAGCAAACAGCAAAACAAUAACAAGCUUACUUGCAGAAGGUGGGAAGCUGCAGACGUAAAUGCAGGCUCCCUUCCCAGGCUACCAGCAGUCCCUGGGGAUGAAGUAGUCUAAAUGGGCAGCAGUUGUGGAGUCCUCCCCGCUCACAGGAAUGGAAGAUGUCACUCACUAGCAGAAGUGCUCUGGGGUGGCAAUGAGGAGUACUGUCUUUGGACUCUGACAGGAACAUCUGGAUGGCACCAGGCUCAGGGAGACGGGUCUUGUGUGUCCUGCUAAGCACUAACAGCAAUAAUUGAGCAGCAGCAAUCUGCCUCACAUCAUUCUAGGCCCUAGGAGGGCACAAAGUUGGUUCUUGGCUCAGGUUAUCAGGAAAGUAACGUAUGUGCGUACAAAUAAAGUGUCCAACAGCAGAAAGGGAUGCCCUGAACAGUCCAGGUUGCACAAAGGAGUAUGGACAAACAAGUAGUUUCAUCCAGCUGGGAGCACUAGGAAAGCUCAGAAGGAGGAUGCCUCCAGGAGCCAGUGAGUGUAUUCUGUCACCAGGUGCCUUGGAGAGUGGAGGAUCUGGAGGGCACUUUUUGAGGCUGAUAGGAAGAAAGCAGACGGGUGGAGUGGUAGAUGGAAUGACGCCCUCACCCUCUGCAAUGUUCACAUUCUAAUCCCUGAGAUAUGUGAAUAUGUUACUCUAGCUGACAAAAGGGACUUUGCAGAUGUGAUUAAGGAUUUUGAGCUGGGGAGGUGACUCUGAAUUACAUGAAUGGGCCCAGUAUAAUCACAAGGGUCCUUAUAAUAGGGAGACUGGAGUGUCAGAGUCACAGAUGAGCUGUGAUGAUGGACGCAGUGGUGAGAGAGAGAUGUGAAGAUGGAAGGAGAGGGCCAUGGGCCAAGGAAUGUGGGUGGUCUCUAAAAGCUGGAAAAGGCAAGAAAAUGGAUCCUCCCCUAGAGACUCCAGCAGGAACAAAACCCUGCUGACACCUUGACUGUAGGACUUCCAACCUCCAGAACUAUAAAAUAAUAAAUUCAUGUUGUUUUAAACCACUAAGAUUGUCGUAAUUUGUUACAACAGCCAUGGGAAAUGAGCACAGGUGGAUUAGACACUUCAAGAGAUGUAAUUUCUUUGUGUAAUUCUUUCUGGGAAGCUCCAUGAA
rnacentral:lncRNA from 1 species